UACGUAGGGUGCAAGCGUUGUCCGGAAUUAUUGGGCGUAAAGAGCUCGUAGGCGGUCUGUCACGUCGGAUGUGAAACCCUGAGGCUCAACCUCAGGCCUGCAUUCGAUACGGGCAGACUAGAAUUCGGCAGGGGAGACUGGAAUUCCUGGUGUAGCGGUGAAAUGCGCAGAUAUCAGGAGGAACACCUAUUGCGAAGGCAGCUCGCUGGGACGUAACUGACGCUGAGACGCGAAAGCGUGGGGAGCAAACAGG
rnacentral:rRNA from 1 species